ACUCAAAUGAAUUGACGGGGGCCCGCACAAGCGGUGGAUUAUGUGGUUUAAUUCGAAGCAACGCGAAGAACCUUACCUAGGUUUGAAAUCCUGAGAAUCCUCCGGAAAUGGAGGAGUGCCCUUCGGGGAAUUCAGUGACAGGUGCUGCAUGGCUGUCGUCAGCUCGUGUCGUGAGAUGUUGGGUUAAGUCUCGCAACGAGCGCAACCCCUAUCCUUAGUUGCCAGCAUUAAGUUGGGCACUUUAAGGAGACUGCCUGGGUUAACCAGGAGGAAGGUGGGGAUGACGUCAAGUCCUCAUGGCCCUUAUACCUAGGGCUACACACGUAAUACAAUGGUCGGUACAGAGGGAUGCGAACUUGCGAAGGGGAGCAAAUCUCAAAAAACCGAUCUCAGUCCGGAUUGGAGUCUGCAACUCGACUCCAUGAAGUUGGAAUCGCUAGUAAUCGCGGAUCAGCACGCCGCGGUGAAUACGUUCCCGGGCCUUGUACACACCGCCCGU
rnacentral:rRNA from 1 species